CGGAGCUUUCGCUGAAGGAGGGGCUUGCGUCUGAUUAGCUAGUUGGAGGGGUAACGGCCCACCAAGGCGACGAUCAGUAGGGGGUUCUGAGAGGAAGGUCCCCCACAUUGGAACUGAGACACGGUCCAAACUCCUACGGGAGGCAGCAGUGAGGAAUAUUGGUCAAUGGGCGAGAGCCUGAACCAGCCAAGUAGCGUGCAGGAUGACGGCCCUAUGGGUUGUAAACUGCUUUUAUAGGGGAAUAAAGUGAGCCACGUGUGGUUUUUGCAUGUACCCUAUGAAUAAGGACCGGCUAAUUCCGUG
rnacentral:rRNA from 1 species